rnacentral:tRNA from 1 species
CAAACUAGGGCUUUAGUAGUAAUUGUUAUUUACAUUAACAAGGGAGUUGUGCGAUUCAACUUAGUUUGA